UAAUAUUUAUACUUUCAUUCUAAAGUCUCUCGCCGUUGGUUCUCAUCGGUCUAAAUUUUGAAAAAUAGCCGUUGCAGUCUCUCUCUCUCUGUCUCUUUCCGCCUCUAGCAAAUCCAGACUCUUCUUCUUCCCACCGAUCUCUAGGGCCUAUUCUUUAACGGAAGAAGUAAAAAUAGCCGUUGCAGUCUCCCUCUCUCUCGCAAAUCCAGACUCUUCUUCUUCCCACCGGUCUAGAUCUAGGGUUUAUUCUUUAAUGGAAGAAGGAAAAAUCCCCGUUGAUUGAUUUUAUAAUCAGAGGCAUUUCAUGUUCUUUCAAACCAACGAAAUAAAAAAUAAUCCCUCAUGAUCUGUCACAAGGAAGCAUCCAAGUGCAUCAUUUGCUUUGGCUAUUUGCUUCUUAAUACAGAAAAGCUUCUCUUCUGGGGCUUGAAUUACUUGUACAGCAAGGGGUUCAUGGUGUGGUUUGUGUUAAUUAAUGCAAAUAAUUGCGUGGUUUGUGUUAAUUAAUGUAAAUUAUUUGAAUGUAAUGGUGUCGUUCGUACAAUGAUAAAGUGAUAUAAUAAAAAUGUAAUAUUUUGUUCUGUUAGGGAGAAGAGACCGCUGGGGGAUUGGCCCAGGGCUCUUCCUCCUCUGUGCGUGUGUGGGUGGUGUGUUGCUUUCUAUUUCUCAUUUCUUUUCCUUUCAACCUUCCCUCUUCAAUGUUUCUCUUAUUUUCCCAUCUCCA